UGGGGAAUAUUGCGCAAUGGGGGAAACCCUGACGCAGCCAUGCCGCGUGAGUGAAGAAGGUCUUCGGAUCGUAAAGCUCUUUCAACGGUGAAGAUGAUGACGGUAGCCGGAGAAGAAGCCCCGGCUAACUCCGUGCCAGCAGCCGCGGUAAUACGGAGGGGGCUAGCGUUGUUCGGAAUUACUGGGCGUAAAGCGCGCGUAGGCGGACUGAUCAGUCAGGGGUGAAAUCCCGGGGCUCAACCCCGGAACUGCCUUUGAUACUGUCAGUCUUGAGUCCGGAAGAGGCGAGUGGAAUACCGAGUGUAGAGGUGAAAUUCGUAGAUAUUUGGAGGAACACCAGUGGCGAAGGCGGCUCACUGGCUCGAUACUGACGCUGAGGUGCGAAAGUGUGGGGAGCAAACAGGAUUAGAUACCCUGGUAGUCCACGCCGUAAACGAUGUCUACUAGCCGUUGGGGUACUUGAGACCUUAGUGGCGCAGCUAACGC
rnacentral:rRNA from 1 species